rnacentral:rRNA from 1 species
GAUGAACGCUGGCGGCGUGCCUAAUACAUGCAAGUCGAGCGAACGGACGAGAAGCUUGCUUCUCUGAUGUUAGCGGCGGACGGGUGAGUAACACGUGGAUAACCUACCUAUAAGACUGGGAUAACUUCGGGAAACCGUAGCUAAUACCGGAUAAUAUUUUGAACCGCAUGGUUCAAAAGUGAAAGACGGUCUUGCUGUCACUUAUAGAUGGAUCCGCGCUGCAUUAGCUAGUUGGUAAGGUAACGGCUUACCAAGGCAACGAUGCAUAGCCGACCUGAGAGGGUGAUCGGCCACACUGGAACUGAGACACGGUCCAGACUCCUACGGGAGGCAGCAGUAGGGAACCUUCCGCAAUGGGCGAAAGCCUGACGGAGCAACGCCGCGUGAGUGAUGAAGGUCUUCGGAUCGUAAAACUCUGUUAUUAGGGAAGAACAUAUGUGUAAGUAACUGUGCACAUCUUGACGGUACCUAAUCAGAAAGCCACGGCUAACUACGUGCCAGCAGCCGCGGUAAUACGUAAGUGGCAAGCGUUAUCCGGAAUUAUUGGGCGUAAAGCGCGCGUAGCGGUUUUUUAAGUCUGAUGUGAAAGCCCACGGCUCAACCGUGGAGGGUCAUUGGAAACUGGAAAACUUGAGUGCAGAAGAGGAAAGUGGAAUUCCAUGUGUAGCGGUGAAAUGCGCAGAGAUAUGGAGGAACACCAGUGGCGAAGGCGACUUUCUGGUCUGUAACUGACGCUGAUGUGCGAAAGCGUGGGGAUCAAACAGGAUUAGAUACCCUGGUAGUCCACGCCGUAAACGAUGAGUGCUAAGUGUUAGGGGGUUUCCGCCCCUUAGUGCUGCAGCUAACGCAUUAAGCACUCCGCCUGGGGAGUACGACCGCAAGGUUGAAACUCAAAGGAAUUGACGGGGACCCGCACAAGCGGUGGAGCAUGUGGUUUAAUUCGAAGCAACGCGAAGAACCUUACCAAAUCUUGACAUCCUUUGACAACUCUAGAGAUAGAGCCUUCCCCUUCGGGGGACAAAGUGACAGGUGGUGCAUGGUUGUCGUCAGCUCGUGCCGUGAGAUGUUGGGUUAAGUCCCGCAACGAGCGCAACCCUUAAGCUUAGUUGCCAUCAUUAAGUUGGGCACUCUAAGUUGACUGCCGGUGACAAACCGGAGGAAGGUGGGGAUGACGUCAAAUCAUCAUGCCCCUUAUGAUUUGGGCUACACACGUGCUACAAUGGACAAUACAAAGGGCAGCGAAACCGCGAGGUCAAGCAAAUCCCAUAAAGUUGUUCUCAGUUCGGAUUGUAGUCUGCAACUCGACUACAUGAAGCUGGAAUCGCUAGUAAUCGUAGAUCAGCAUGCUACGGUGAAUACGUUCCCGGGUCU